GACGAACGCUGGCGGCGUGCCUAAUACAUGCAAGUAGAACGCUGAAGGAGGAGCUUGCUCUUCUGGAUGAGUUGCGAACGGGUGAGUAACGCGUAGGUAACCUGCCUGGUAGCGGGGGAUAACUAUUGGAAACGAUAGCUAAUACCGCAUAACAGUAGAUGUUGCAUGACAUUUACUUAAAAGGUGCAAUUGCAUCACUACCAGAUGGACCUGCGUUGUAUUAGCUAGUUGGUGGGGUAACGGCUCACCAAGGCGACGAUACAUAGCCGACCUGAGAGGGGGAUCGGCCACACUGGGACUGAGACACGGCCCAGACUCCUACGGGAGGCAGCAGUAGGGAAUCUUCGGCAAUGGACGGAAGUCUGACCGAGCAACGCCGCGUGAGUGAAGAAGGUUUUCGGAUCGUAAAGCUCUGUUGUAAGAGAAGAACGAGUGUGAGAGUGGAAAGUUCACACUGUGACGGAAUCUUACCAGAAAGGGACGGCUAACUACGUG
rnacentral:rRNA from 1 species